AGGGAAUCUUCGGCAAUGGACGAAAGUCUGACCGAGCAACGCCGCGUGAGUGAAGAAGGUUUUCGGAUCGUAAAACUCUGUUGUUAGAGAAGAACAAGGAUGAGAGUAGAACGUUCAUCCCUUGACGGUAUCUAACCAGAAAGCCACGGCUAACUACGUGCCAGCAGCCGCGGUAAUACGUAGGUGGCAAGCGUUGUCCGGAUUUAUUGGGCGUAAAGCGAGCGCAGGCGGUUUCUUAAGUCUGAUGUGAAAGCCCCCGGCUCAACCGGGGAGGGUCAUUGGAAACUGGGAGACUUGAGUGCAGAAGAGGAGAGUGGAAUUCCAUGUGUAGCGGUGAAAUGCGUAGAUAUAUGGAGGAACACCAGUGGCGAAGGCGGCUCUCUGGUCUGUAACUGACGCUGAGGCUCGAAAGCGUGGGGAGCGAACAG
rnacentral:rRNA from 1 species